GACGAACGCUGGCGGCGUGCCUAAUACAUGCAAGUCGAGCGGACGGAUGGGAGCUUGCUCCCAGACCGUCAGCGGCGGACGGGUGAGUAACACGUGGGCAACCUGCCUGUAAGACUGGGAUAACUCCGGGAAACCGGGGCUAAUACCGGAUAACUCUUUCCCUCACAUGAGGGAAAGCUGAAAGAUGGCAUCUUGCUAUCACUUACAGAUGGGCCCGCGGCGCAUUAGCUAGUUGGUGAGGUAACGGCUCACCAAGGCGACGAUGCGUAGCCGACCUGAGAGGGUGAUCGGCCACACUGGGACUGAGACACGGCCCAGACUCCUACGGGAGGCAGCAGUAGGGAAUCUUCCGCAAUGGACGAAAGUCUGACGGAGCAACGCCGCGUGAGUGAUGAAGGUUUUCGGAUCGUAAAACUCUGUUGUCAGGGAAGAACAAGUACCGGAGUAACUGCCGGUACCUUGACGGUACCUGACCAGAAAGCCACGGCUAACUACGUG
rnacentral:rRNA from 1 species